GGGUCAUAGCUCAGUGGCAAAGCAUUUGUUUUAGAUGCAGAAGUCUCAGGUUCAAUUCCUGGCAUGUCUG